rnacentral:rRNA from 1 species
UACGUAGGGUGCUAGCGUUGUCCGGAUUUAUUGGGCGUAAAGGGCUCGUAGGCGGUUUGUCGCGUCUGCUGUGAAAACUGGAGGCUCAACCUCCAGCCUGCAGUGGGUACGGGCAGACUAGAGUGCGGUAGGGGAGAUUGGAAUUCCUGGUGUAGCGGUGGAAUGCGUAGAUAUCGGAAGGAACACCAGUGGCGAAAGCGGCUUCCUGGUCCAGCACCGACGUUCAGGCACGAAAGCGUGGGGAGCAAACAGG